AUACGUAGGGGGCGAGCGUUGUCCGGAAUGGUUGGGCGUAAAGGGCGCGUAGGCGGCGCGGUAAGUCUGGAGUGAAAGUCCUGCUUUCAAGGUGGGAAUUGCUUUGGAUACUGCCGCGCUUGAGUGCAGGAGAGGUUAUCGGAAUUCCCGGUGUAGCGGUGAAAUGCGUAGAGAUCGGGAGGAACACCAGUGGCGAAGGCGGGUAACUGGACUGCAACUGACGCUGAGGCGCGAAAGUGUGGGGAGCAAACAGGAUUAGAUACCCUGGUAGUCCACACUGUAAACGAUGAAUGCUAGGUGUAAGAGGUAUCGACCCCUUUUGUGCCGGAGUCAACACAAUAAGCAUUCCGCCUGGGGAGUACGGCCGCAAGGUUGAAACUCAAAUGAAUUGACGGGG
rnacentral:rRNA from 1 species